UACGGAGGGGGCUAGCGUUGUUCGGAAUUACUGGGCGUAAAGCGCGCGUAGGCGGACCUGCAAGUCGGGGGUGAAAGCCCGAGGCUCAACCUCGGAACUGCCUUCGAUACUGCGGGUCUCGAGUCCGGGAGAGGUGAGUGGAAUCCUAGUGUAGAGGUGAAAUUCGUAGAUAGUCGGGAGGAACACCAGUGGCGAAGGCGGCAUCCUGGCC
rnacentral:rRNA from 1 species